GGGUUGUGAGGUUAAGCGACUAAGCGUACACGGUGGAUGCCCUGGCAGUCAGAGGCGAUGAAGGACGUGCUAAUCUGCGAUAAGCGUCGGUAAGGUGAUAUGAACCGUUAUAACCGGCGAUUUCCGAAUGGGGAAACCCAGUGUGUUUCGACACACUAUCAUUAACUGAAUCCAUAGGUUAAUGAGGCGAACCGGGGGAACUGAAACAUCUAAGUACCCCGAGGAAAAGAAAUCAACCGAGAUUCCCCCAGUAGCGGCGAGCGAACGGGGAGGAGCCCAGAGCCUGAAUCAGUGUGUGUGUUAGUGGAAGCGUCUGGAAAGGCGCGCGAUACAGGGUGACAGCCCCGUACACAAAAAUGCACAUACUGUGAGCUCGAUGAGUAGGGCGGGACACGUGGUAUCCUGUCUGAAUAUGGGGGGACCAUCCUCCAAGGCUAAAUACUCCUGACUGACCGAUAGUGAACCAGUACCGUGAGGGAAAGGCGAAAAGAACCCCGGCGAGGGGAGUGAAAAAGAACCUGAAACCGUGUACGU
rnacentral:rRNA from 1 species